GCCAGACUCCUACGGGAGGCAGCAGUGGGGGAUAUUGCACAAUGGGGGAAACCCUGAUGCAGCGACGCCGCGUGGGCGAAGAAGUAUUUCGGUAUGUAAAGCCCUAUCAGCAGGGAAGAAGAAAUGACGGUACCUGAGUAAGAAGCCCCGGCUAACUACGUGCCAGCAGCCGCGGUAAUACGUAGGGGGCAAGCGUUAUCCGGAUUUACUGGGUGUAAAGGGAGCGUAGACGGCAGAGCAAGUCUGAAGUGAAAGCCCGCGGCCCAACUGCGGGACUGCUUUGGAAACUGCCCGGCUAGAGUGCUGGAGAGGUAAGCGGAAUUCCUAGUGUAGCGGUGAAAUGCGUAGAUAUUAGGAGGAACGCCAGUGGCGAAGGCGGUCUGCUGGACAGCAACUGACGCUGAGGCGCGAAAGCGUGGGGAGCAAACAGGAUUAGAUACCCCAGUAAGA
rnacentral:rRNA from 1 species